rnacentral:piRNA from 2 species
UACACAAAAUGUAGCUCUGAGCUGGGCAGC